CUCCCCAUCAGUCAGGCCCCGCAACGUGUAACGGUGACUAAGACCAGGGGUGACAGACCAAACAGCCUCCACAGCAAGGGGGCAACUACAGCAAGGCGACAGAGACCUACUUGUCGAUUUCUGAAUACAGAGCUGUGCAAAGAAAUUAUGCGCGUACAGAAGGAAUGAAACAUUUCAUUCCCAACUUAGGAAUUCAGAACACAUUCAUGUAUUCAAACAUCAUGCAACCAUUAAAGGUGACAACACUGACACAGGAAGAUUUGCAGUAACUGCUGCAAAGUCAUGUGCUGUAACGAAAGCUGCCUCAGCAUCCGUCCACCUGGGCUGGCCGCCCUGACCAGGUCCAGCUCACACGCCACACCCACUCUCCUCCAGCCCCCUAGCACAGCCUCCCAAGCCCUGGCGACCUCCAACCUGCUCUCUAUUCCUGUAACUCUGCCGCAUCAACAGCACUGUACAAAUGGAGUCAUGUCGUCCACGCCUUUGGGGAUGAGCUGUCAGCUCGGCACCUGGCAGGACUCUCUAGAGAGCCGUCUGGGGCUGGGGUCUGUCAACAGUCCUUCCCUCUUUACGGCGGCGUCGUGCUCCGUGACACCGACACCACGUAUGUUUCUUUAGCCAUUCAUCUGUGGAAGAACAUCUGACUCUUUUCUAGCUUUAGGCUAUCACAAACAAAGCCACAAUAAAUACCCAUGUACAGAUUUCUUUGUGAAGUUAGUCUUCAUUUCUACGGGAUAAAAGUCAAGGACUGCUAUUACUGGGCCACAUGGUAACUGCAUGUCCGGCUUCUAAAGAAACCGCCAAUUUAACAUCCGUACCCACGAUAUCUGGGUGA